rnacentral:rRNA from 1 species
AUUGAACGCUGGCGGCAGGCCUAACACAUGCAAGUCGAGCGGAUGACGGGAGCUUGCUCCUUGAUUCAGCGGCGGACGGGUGAGUAAUGCCUAGGAAUCUGCCUGGUAGUGGGGGACAACGUUUCGAGAGGAACGCUAAUACCGCAUACGUCCUACGGGAGAAAGCAGGGGACCUUCGGGCCUUGCGCUAUCAGAUGAGCCUAGGUCGGGUUAGCUAGUAGGUGAGGUAAUGGCUCACCUAGGCGACGAUCCGUAACUGGUCUGAGAGGAUGAUCAGUCACACUGGAACUGAGACACGGUCCAGACUCCUACGGGAGGCAGCAGUGGGGAAUAUUGGACAAUGGGCGAAAGCCUGAUCCAGCCAUGCCGCGUGUGUGAAGAAGGUCUUCGGAUUGUAAAGCACUUUAAGUUGGGAGGAAGGGCAGUAAGUUAAUACCUUGCUGUUUUGACGUUACCGACAGAAUAAGCACCGGCUAACCCUGUGCCAGCCGCCGCCGUAA